UAGCAGGAUAAAUGAUUUCAGCUGUGAUAGGUGGGUGUGGAAGACAUCUAAACUUCUCUUUUACAUUACUAGGAACAAGCUCUAAACUUUAUUUGUUACACUUACAAUUAAUUCUCAUCUGACUGCGUCAUACCACAAAGUCAGCUGUUGACUUUUCUUUUCCGGGUUCUGUAAUCAUGAAACCACAUGCAAUAAGGGCUCAGAUAUGAGUUUGAAAAAUACCGUUGAAAGAACUGAUGCUUUAAAGAAGAGUCAUCAGGUGAAUCUGCUCAAAAUAACAUCACUUUACUAUGCUUAUAGUUUUUGGGAAAAUCCUUGCUAGAUAAAGAUGCUAGCUUAUUCUGUAUGUAUUUUGAAGGUUAGGGCCAGGUAAGAUUGGUGGAGAAGGUCUCCAAAAUUCAGAAGGAAGGCUAAACAUGUAUUCAAUUAACAACACUCCAAAGGGCAAAUCAAACUCUGUUAAAGAAAUUGAGGAAAGAAAACAGUAUUCUCAGAAGAACUGAAAUGCAAAGAAAUAACAUCAGGAGACAAAUCCGAGCUCUUGUUCUCACAUUGGAGACUACAGAGGAAGACAAUAAUAAGGAAACAAAAUCUUUGACUACAUUCAAUCAUGAAACUGAACAAAAAACAAGAAUACCUGUGCCAUCCUUCUCCCAUUGAUUUGGGUAUGCCUCAGAAGAGUGAAAUGUAUUCCAGCUAAGCCCUUGCUGUUUAUCUAUCUGAUGUGCAAAAGGGCUCCUCACAAAUAAUGUUGGAACAGGCAGGGCUAGUAGAAGCCAAACUGUCCUUGCCCUAAUGUUAUAGUAACCUAGAAAAGAGAUUGAAGUCUUUCUCAUUUUACCAUAUCUGUACUACUUUGAGCAUGAUCAUUAUGUUGUCACUUACCUGAUCUAUACCCUAUUUGUGCCUGUAUGCAUGAAGGAAAUCUCAUCUUCUCUUUCUGGUUUUGACAUCUAGAUCUUCCAUGUGUCAGUGAGACGGUGGAAAAGGCAUGAUUGGAGCCUUUCACUGCAAAAAAUAAGAUAAAAACUUUCACAAAUAUCUUUGCUGUACAAAAUGAGGUAACUUUCUCAACAGUUAAUUUUAUGCUUCUUAUCAAAGGUGAACCAGGGAGAGAUCAUCAGUUGGAACUUUCAUCUUUCACAGUACUCACCUGUUAUUUCACUCCUUGAUUCUCUCUAAGGCAAGGAUGUGUGAGGGGGGGAGGCCCAAGCAGCGUAAUUUUGAGCCAGCUGAUUUCUCUGGCCUUGGUGUUCAGGAGCUGUCUGUAACUCUUCUGUUUACAAAUAUUCGAGUUGAUGAUUAUCUUUUACCAUCUUCUUUUUCAUUUCCCAUUAUCUCAGGGAAAAACAAACAAACAAACAAACAAACAAAAAAACCAACAAACUUUUCUUUAAAACCUUGACCUAGUGCCCUCUGUGUAGUUUCAUGAAGCUAAUUAACAGCUCUUUAGGAAAAGGGCUAUGGAAGACUGGAAUCCUCAUUUUAGCUGUGGAGGCAUUCUGUGUGUCAUUUUGUAACAGAGCUAAUGCUUUAUUGGAAAAGUAUAUCAGUACAAAAAAGGUGUGUAGGCAGGUAACCUAAAAAUGGAGCAAGGCUUUCAUGCAUAGUUAUUGUCCAUGUCAUGUAAAAGAAGAUGAUAAUUUAGAAGUGUCCUGACAAAAAAUGCUACUCCGCUGAAAGGUCUUUAACAGCUUUUGUUGGCUUAAGAAUAGAACUUUUGAGAAAAAGAAUUGUUUAUGUGGGAUUACCUGUGAGGAGUUAUCACAACACCUCUCUUGAAAAUAGCACUGAACAGGUUUUAUUUAGCCUUCACCACGUUGCAUUUUAGAUCACACUGCAAUUUAAUACAUUUGGGAAAUCACAGGGUUUAAAUUCGGAUAUGAGUAAAAACAAGGCCGUCCAGUCUUACUGCAAAUGAAAGUUUAAGGCUGAAAAUAAAUUAUUUUCACAAAUUCUCUGGGGAAUAGUGACAUUUCUGUCCUGAGUCAAUAUGAAGUAAAAGUUCAAAGCCUGAGCCCAGAGAAGUUAAAAAAAAAAAACUGUGUGGCUGGUACUGUGGCUGGUAAGUGGAGAAACUGAGUUAUAAAAUACUUUUCUCUUAAAAUUCAUGAAACAUUAUCUGUAGCAGAAAGAUGCUUAUCAAAUGAGUUCUUGGUUCCAAUAAGCAGUAGGUGAGAUAAAAGUAUCAAUCACUAAUGUAGAUAAGAAGAGUAUUGCAGUUCUGGUUUUGGGCCAGAUGGAGCAAUCAUAAUGAGCUCAAAAGUUUUUGGACACAUUUUGCUGGUUUUGCACCAGGAACUGUUUCACAGAAGAUGUUGAAGCUGUGAUAUGGCAGUGCAGUCAUGUCAGAUUAAUACCUGGGAGCUGCCAAGAAGGGCGGUCACACCCUCUUUAUCCAUUGUGUUCUUAUGUGCCCACCUCUUGUUUCAAAUCCCUUUCCGAUAGAUCAACCAACUCAGCCAACUCCCUUUUAUGGCUGUAUUAUUCAAAUGGUGCGAAACCAGACAGCAAGGGACCAGGACAGCCCUUUUCUGCAGCAGUUCAGCAGCUCAGCUAUAACAUCAAACCGUACGUUGAACAUAAGAAAUCUCUUAUUUGCUAAUCUUAGCAGUAUAAAACAACUGCCCCUCAGUGAGUGGAUGCCUGUCAGCUUAGGACAUCUAUAUGCUCAUACAUGGAAGUGCAGCUGUCUUUUCUUCCAAGAAUAGUGAUAUGAAUAGCCCACAUUAUCAAAGUGAAUUUUCAUUUUGCAGUGAAUGGAUGGUUCUGACGGAUCUGGAAAAUGAAUUAAUUGCACAGAGCUCCAGUUAGGUUCUCCUGCAGUUCUCCCUGGUGUCAGCUAUAUAUCUGCAUGCACAGGAGGUUUAACAUACUCUAUAAAGUCACAAGUGUUAUACUACUGAAUGUAGAUUUCCUACACAUAGGGAACUUCUCAGUGUUGCUAGGAAGUUCUAUUUAGAAAAAAAGAAAAAAGAAAAUGUCUCAUUCUCUUAAUCCUGAAAUAUGUAGAGGGAAACAGACAUCAAAACGUUGAGUAUCAGUAGUCACGUUGACAGCAGCCUGUUCUCUCUGUGUCUAACAUAAUCCUUCUGUUAGUUUCUGAGAACAGAACUAGCUAUCCUGCAGAAAGCCUCAAAGGCUGAUCUUCCUUGGAAAGUCGCUGUUUUAGUUUUGCAUGCCAGCUCUAUGUAAUGAAUUUACAUUGUUAUUGUUGGCAAUAAUUCCUGGCUGAGCAACGUCUUUUGAAUUCUACCCUGGAAACCAUGGUUAAUUUCUUAAUUCUCAUCUGUGGUUUAUGAUUAACGCGGAUAUUUGUUCUCUGGCAGUAGGCUAUUGGAUGUGUUUCUGAAGCAGAUGCUGUGUGAGUGAUGCUGCAUGAUGGAGAACUGGACUUUCUUGUUUAGAGUCAUUUUCUUUUCUUCCUUUUCCUGGUCAAACUGAAAGAGACAAUUUUUCUACACAGCAUUAUGCAGUACCGUGUUACAGAUCCUUUGAUAUAGCUACGAUCAAGUGUUCUGCUUUUUAAAGCCUCAAAAUCCCACAGAAAAAAAAAGUCUUCAGUAUUUAUAUUUCUUCCAUUUUAAAUUUCUGAUCACUAGAAUGACAGUAAAAAGUAUCUCGACACAAACAUCAGAGUUCUGCAAAUCCAGGAGGUAAAUAAAAUACAUAUCUUGCCUUUGUUCCCUUUUUGUUUUUAUCUUGAUUUUUUUUAAGCCAAGACCAUGAUUUUUCUUAGCGUGAUGAUGCUGCAUUUUGGAUAGUUGGGUAUGGAGAGAUGAAAGUCAAAAGAGUUCAAGACUCCUGGGAACUGUUUCUCUGAAUUAGGCCUUCUGGGAUUUUGUUGUGAUUUUACAGUCAGGAGUCAGAAAUCUGCUUUUGCAUAAGGCCCACUGUGUUUCCUUCUCCUGAACAUUUCAGAAAUAGUAGAAUAGUUUGACGUAAUCUGGCCUGAGAACUCAUAAAUACCUUUUGUAAGCAGUAGAAAAUAUGUUUCAUUUCACCGAAGAUGAUUCUGGGCAAGCAAGUUAAUGAAGGAUAUAUUUUGCUCUUCCUUCAGUAGGGACAGAGGACUCUAGUUGGCAAGGGAACUGAUGCUCAAACAUUGUUAGUAGAUGAGUAGGACCUGCAUAGGCCAUGGAGAAGAUUAGGGGGGAAAUUAGUGAUUGCUUAGAAAACAUCUGACUGUGUCAGGAGUUCCUACAACAAACAAAGCGUGAAGCAGAAAUCUGCUACUCUACCUCACAUGAAAGAACAACAGUACCGUUUCCUUGGUUCAUUUCAAGGACUGUUUGCCUUGGUCUCACUUCCCUGUCAAAGUAAAACCAAAAUGAAAUGAAGUUAAGAAAACACACCCACUUCAGCAAAAUCUAAAAAUCUAAGACUUAUAUAGUUACAGAUGUGUUAGGACUUGAAAACUCGAGAAGUCCUCAAAUAGGUAAUGGUCCUGUUUCAUCAGUUCUGUGACACUAACUGUAUCACGUAGGGUAUUCUCGAUGGAAAACCAGAGUGACUGUCCUGAUAACAGUGAAACAAAUUCUUCUACUGUCAAUUAUACCCUUCAUUUCCUCAUUCUUUCCUUAAAAAAAUAAAAAAAGAAGAAAAAAAAAAAAGAAAAAAAAAGAUGAAUAUGUUGGAGAAUUAGUGUCCUAACUUGUGUGACUAGGAAAACAGGACCCA
rnacentral:lncRNA from 1 species